rnacentral:rRNA from 1 species
UACGUAGGUGGCAAGCGUUGCCCGGAUUUACUGGGUGUAAAGGGCGUGCAGCCGGAGAGACAAGUCAGAUGUGAAAUCCACGGGCUCAACCCGUGAACUGCAUUUGUAACUGUUUCCCUUGAGUGUCGGAGAGGUAAUCGGAAUUCCUUGUGUAGCGGUGAAAUGCGUAGAUAUAAGGAAGAACACCAGUGGCGAAGGCGGAUUACUGGACGAUAACUGACGGUGAGGCGCGAAAGCGUGGGGAGCAAACAGG